rnacentral:rRNA from 1 species
AGAGUUUGAUCCUGGCUCAGAAUCAACGCUGGCGGCGUGCCUAACACAUGCAAGUCGAACGAGAAAGUGGAGCAAUCCAUGAGUAAAAGUGGCGCACGGGGUGAGUAACACGUGACUAACCUACCCUUGAGUGGGGGAUAACCUAGGGAAACCUGGGGCUAAUACCGGCAUAAUACCUUCGGGGUCAAAAGGAGCAAUUCGCUUAAGGAGGGGGGUCGCGGCCGAUUAGUUAGUUGGCGGGGUAAUGGCCCACCAAGACUGUGAUCGGUAUCCGGCCUGAGAGGGCGCACGGACACACUGGAACUGAAACACGGUCCAGACUCCUACGGGAGGCAGCAGUGGGGAAUUUUGCGCAAUGGGGGAAACCCUGACGCAGCAACGCCGCGUGGAGGAUGAAGCCCCUUGGGGCGUAAACUCCUUUCGAUCGGGACGAUUAUGACGGUACCGGAAGAAGAAGCCCCGGCUAACUUCGUGCCAGCAGCCGCGGUAAUACGAGGGGGGCGAGCGUUGUUCGGAAUUAUUGGGCGUAAAGGGUGCGUAGGCGGUUCAGUAAGUCUUGUGUGAAAUCUUCGGGCUCAACUCGAAGUCUGCAUGAGAAACUGCUGGGCUUGAGUAUGGGAGAGGUGAGUGGAAUUCCCGGUGUAGCGGUGAAAUGCGUAGAUAUCGGGUCGACUCACUAUGGGAGAGCGGCUCACUGGUCCAUAACAGACGUUGAGGCACGAAAGAUAGUGGAGCAAACAGGAUUAGAUACCCUGGUAGUCCUAUCCUUAACCGAUGAUCGCUUGGUGUGACGAGUAUCCAAUUGCCCCAAGCCGAAGCUAAC